rnacentral:rRNA from 1 species
GCGUGAGUGAUGAAGGCCCUAGGGUUGUAAAGCUCUUUCACCGAUGAAGAUAAUGACGGUAGUCGGAGAAGAAGCCCCGGCUAACUUCGUGCCAGCAGCCGCGGUAAUACGAAGGGGGCUAGCGUUGUUCGGAAUCACUGGGCGUAAAGCGCACGUAGGCGGAUUGUUAAGUGAGGGGUGAAAUCCCGGGGCUCAACCCCGGAACUGCCUUUCAUACUGGCAAUCUCGAGUUCGAGAGAGGUAAGUGGAAUUCCGAGUGUAGAGGUGAAAUUCGU